GUGCAUAUUACAUUUACGCAUAUAGUGUGUUGUGAACGUCCUCUCUCGUCCACCGCCGGCGGUGGUGAGCUGUAUUGUUUCCCUUUCCAUCUCAGACUUACGCGGGUAAUUGCCAAGCCUAAGCCGUUGGUGGCUCCAAGAGAGAGGAAAGCCCUUCACGAUACAUAGGGCUCACUUGUUUGUGACUAACAAUGAAGGUUCACCGGACUAAUGUUCUCUGAAAUACUAACGUAAAGAUCGUGACUUGGCAAGUCUUUGUGGCGUCGAAAGAAAGUCGUACUCCUACAAAUUGAAGCCAAAAAAUCCCCAAUGUUAAGAAAUCCAGUAAUCUACCAGAUAUGUGGAUGGAUAGAAGGUGCAAUUCUUGUUUUGAGUGGGUGGUGAGCUGUAGUCACAUAUGACUCUGUCUUGUACUGUAAAUUCAAAGGAAACAAGAAUUGUCGAUGGU